rnacentral:rRNA from 1 species
AUACGUAGGGGGCGAGCGUUGUCCGGAAUGAUUGGGCGUAAAGGGCGCGUAGGCGGCGCGGUAAGUCUGGAGUGAAAGUCCUGCUUUCAAGGUGGGAAUUGCUUUGGAUACUGUCGGGCUUGAGUGCAGGAGAGGUAAGUGGAAUUCCCAGUGUAGCGGUGAAAUGCGUAGAGAUUGGGAGGAACACCAGUGGCGAAGGCGACUUACUGGACUGUAACUGACGCUGAGGCGCGAAAGUGUGGGGAGCAAACAGGAUUAGAUACCCUGGUAGUCCACACUGUAAACGAUGAAUGCUAGGUGUAGGGGGUAUCGACCCCUUCUGUGCCGCAGUCAACACAAUAAGCAUUCCGCCUGGGGAGUACGGCCGCAAGGUUGAAACUCAAAGGAAUUGACGGGG